rnacentral:rRNA from 1 species
UACGGGGGGUGCAAGCGUUGUUCGGAAUUACUGGGCGUAAAGGGCGCGUAGGCGGCCUACUAAGUCGGACGUGAAAUCCCUCGGCUCAACCGAGGAACUGCGUCCGAUACUGGCAGGCUGGAAUCCGGGAGAGGGAUGUGGAAUUCCAGGUGUAGCGGUGAAAUGCGUAGAUAUCUGGAGGAACACCGGUGGCGAAGGCGGCAUCCUGGACCGGUAUUGACGCUGAGGCGCGAAAGCUAGGGGAGCAAACGGG